rnacentral:rRNA from 1 species
UACGUAGGGUGCAAGCGUUAAUCGGAAUUACUGGGCGUAAAGCGUGCGCAGGCGGUUUUGUAAGUCUGACGUGAAAUCCCCGGGCUUAACCUGGGAAUGGCGAUGGAGACUGCAAGGCUAGAGUUUGGCAGAGGGGGGUAGAAUUCCACGUGUAGCAGUGAAAUGCGUAGAGAUGUGGAGGAACACCGAUGGCGAAGGCAGCCCCCUGGGUCAAAACUGACGCUCAUGCACGAAAGCGUGGGGAGCAAACAGG